UCAGGCUCCCGGCUUCGGGCUCCGGCCGCGGCGGGGCGGGCGGCAACGCCCCGGGAGCGGCCGGUCCCACCUGUUACACCCCGCCGCACUCACCAGAUGGUUAAAUCUCCAGCACUGCAGCGAUAUUAACAUGAGGCAGUGCCCACUUCUGGUACCUACUGCCUCGAGGAAGCCAAGAUCUGCAGCACAGACAAACUUGGUAGGCAAAAAGUGAAUAGUUUUGUUGCAAAAUACCCACAUUUAAGCACUGAUUGCAGUCAGUGCAUUUCCUCUUCCAUGUAAGUUCCAUGUGUUCCAAGUGUUAAUAUUCUUUAUCUGUAAGUAUGCUAAGAUUCUACUUGAACAUCUCUCUUUUAAAAGGUGCAUGCUGUUCCUAGAAAAACUAAAUGUGUAUAAAAUUUAAACUUAAUUGUCAUUUAUUACAUACAAAUUAGCUGAACCUGUAUGUACUAUUUUAAGGAUAAAAUCUGUUGGUAGAAGAUAGUCUGAUUAAUUUUUCUGUCCCCUAUCUCUAAAGUGAGGUUAGGGUCAGGUGACAUCUGUGGAACUCAGUCAUGCAAAUAUAGCUAAGUAGCAUUUGGCUUGUAGUAAAUACCACUCAGUUCUUUUCAUCCCCAGAUCUCAAAUGUCUUGCAAUGACGGGUGAGUAGUUACUUUAUUUAGUGUCACUUUACAGAUAUGGAAAGAUGGAAUUGUUACAUUAAUGCCAUUAAGUUAGUAUUGUAAGAAAGACCAACUUAUUUCAGGAAGAUAUUUUUUAAAACUAUAAUUGUAGAAUCACAUCCCUCUCUAAUUCCUUAUAAUUUUUAGGGAAGGGCUUCAUUGAAGUCUGAAAUAAAAUUAUUUAAUUUAGUAACCAAUUCUGUAUUUUUACGAGACAGCAGUAAUUUAAUUGCAUCCUGGUCAGAUAAUUGGCAAGCACAAGGUUUGAUCUCAGAAUGAGCUGGGACACACUCAAACAUAUGUUGAUGGUUUUCUUCCUACCCAUUAAAACAUGCGCUGAUUGAAUGCAAAUUCCUUAAUUCUUCUGCAAGGCGUCAGAAUUAUCCGGUGCCACUUGCAUGUUUAGGAAAUUCAAGUUACCACUGCACUCAGGCAUUAAAAAAGUCUAGCUGUUGACAGUACAUGCAAAAUGAACAGUAAAAGGGACCACUGUGAUGUUUAAAGUAGAUUCUUGUACUAAAGAAAGUGUAUCUUUUAAUUUUAUUUUUUUUAAAUAGGUACUCACACAACACACUGACUGUUCUUGGAAGGAUAAAAGCAUCAAUGAAGUCUAUCAUCACCUUUUAAGUCUAUUGCUUCAGUCUGUUGUAAAAUUACCUCUUGGGUCCAACUGAAGAUUGUCAAAGUGUAUCAUUUACUUACCAUUUUCAUCCACUGCCAGGACACAGGCCCCUUUGGCCAGCAGCUCCUCAACCACCAUCUUUAGGCCAUUUCGUGCAGCAAUAU